rnacentral:rRNA from 1 species
AACGAACGCUGGCGGCAGGCUUAACACAUGCAAGUCGAACGCACCGCAAGGUGAGUGGCAGACGGGUGAGUAACACGUGGGGAUCUGCCCAAUGGUACGGAAUAGCUCCGGGAAACUGGAAUUAAUACCGUAUGAGCCCGCAAGGGGAAAGAUUUAUCGCCAUUGGAUGAACCCGCGUCGGAUUAGCUAGUUGGUGUGGUAAAGGCGCACCAAGGCGACGAUCCGUAGCUGGUCUGAGAGGAUGAUCAGCCACACUGGGACUGAGACACGGCCCAGACUCCUACGGGAGGCAGCAGUGGGGAAGAUUGGACAAUGGGCGCAAGCCUGAUCCAGCCAUGCCGCGUGAGUGAUGAAGGCCUUAGGGUUGUAAAGCUCUUUCGCCGACGAAGAUAAUGACGGUAGUCGGAGAAGAAGCCCGGCUAACUUCGUGCCAGCCGCCGCGGUAACAC